rnacentral:rRNA from 1 species
UACGUAGGGUGCGGAGCGUUAAUCGGAAUUACUGGGCGUAAAGCGUGCGCAGGCGGUGAUGUAAGACAGGUGUGAAAUCCCCGGGCUUAACCUGGGAACUGCAUUUGUGACUGCAUCGCUGGAGUGCGGCAGAGGGGGAUGGAAUUCCGCGUGUAGCAGUGAAAUGCGUAGAUAUGCGGAGGAACACCGAUGCGAAGGCAAUCCCCUGGGCCUGCACUGACGCUCAUGCACGAAAGCGUGGGGAGCAAACAGG